rnacentral:other from 1 species
GAGUCGCACAAAAGAAACGAACAUCAGGAUGAUGGCGUUUCUACAGGACGCACCGGGAAGGUGUUACAAGGAAAGGCUUCAGGAUGAAGCACAAGGACCACGCAGGAACGCGUUAAAGGACACCUCCAGGAAGGAGAACGAGAGCCGGUCAGGAUGGUCGGUGGGUCAGGAAGGCCAGGACGCUUCAGGAUGAAGUAUUCACAUCGGGAUGAUGUGAGCAGGAUGCAAACGUUCAGGAUGAGCAACGGGUCGCAAGGCCGCUGGAAAAGUUGUCAAGGAUGAGCAGGGAGCACCAAAAGUAGCCGGAAUGCUGCGAAACGAACCGGGAGCACUGUUUUUACAGUGCUCCCUUUUUUUAUU